AAUCAACGCUGGCGGCGUGCCUCAGACAUGCAAGUCGAACGCGAAAGUUCCCUUCGGGGAGCGAGUAGAGUGGCGUCCGGGUGAGUAACACGUAGGUAAUCUACCUUUGGGUGGGGAAUAACAACCGGAAACGGUUGCUAAUACCGCAUAAUGCAGCGGCACCGCAUGGUGACAGUUGUUAAAGCGGGGGAGUCGCAAGACCUCGCGCCUAAA
rnacentral:rRNA from 1 species